UACGGGGGGGGGCUAGCGUUGUUCGGAAUUACUGGGCGUAAAGGGCGCGUAGGCGGUCUACUAAGUUGGAUGUGAAAACUCUGGGCUUAAACCCAGAGCCUGCAUUCAAAACUGAUAGGCUAGAGUUCUGGAGGGGAUAGCGGAAUUCCAGGUGUAGCGGUGAAAUGCGUAGAUAUCUGGAGGAACACCGGUGGCGAAGGCGGCAUCCUGGACCAUGACUGACGCUGAGGAGCGAAAGCCAGGGGAGCAAACGGG
rnacentral:rRNA from 1 species